GACGAACGCUGGCGGCGUGCCUAAUACAUGCAAGUAGAACGCACAGUCUAUACCGUAGCUUGCUACACCAUAAACUGUGAGUUGCGAACGGGUGAGUAACCCUUACGUAACCUGCCUGGUAGCGGGGGAUAACUAUUGGAAACGCAAGCUAAUACCUCAUAAUAUUAAUUAUUGCAUGAUAAUUGACUGAAAGAUGCAAUUGCAUCACUACCAGAUGGACCUGCGUUGUAUUAGCUAGUAGGUGAGGUAACGGCUCACCUAGGCGGCGAUACAUAGCCGACCGGCGAGGGUGGUCGGCCACACUGGGAGUGAGACACGGCCCAGACUCCUACGGGAGGCAGCAGUAGGGCAUCUGCGGCAAUGGACGAAAGUCUGACCGAGCAACGCCGCGUGAGUGAAGAAGGUUUUCGGAUCGUAAAGCACUGUUGUAAGAGAAGAACGGGUGUGAGAGUGGAAAGUUCACACUGUGACGGUAUCUUACCAGGAAGGAACGGCUAACUACGUG
rnacentral:rRNA from 1 species